CUCUCUCACUCGUGAAAACCCUCUGAUUUUGUAAUCCUAGGGCAUUCAGUUGUUUCCCCUUCUCUAUCUCCACCGAAGAUUGAAUGGGAAAGUUGGUGCUGCACGGCUUGUGAAGUGCUUGGAGUUCUGAGUUUCCGACCACUGCAGAUUGCCAUUGUGCAGCAAUAGCAAUUAAAACAUCACGCACAUCCUGCCGCGACUGUUGUUGCUAAAUAGGUAACUAUGAUUUUGUAUUUUUGGCCUACUUUCUGGCUUGAUUUGCUGUGAGUGGCAGAAAAGUACAAGAACUUAGAUCCAUGAAAUCCUAGAUGCAUAAACCAGUGGACUUGGUAUGGACUUUUUGGUUUUAAAGACUACCAUGUAUAAAGCGAAUAAUCCAAAAUUUCAAUACUAUUUUUGUCA